GCUACUGCUUUGUUUAAUAAAGAGUUCAUG
rnacentral:piRNA from 1 species